rnacentral:tRNA from 1 species
GCUUAUAUAGUUUAAAAAAAACAUUAAUUUUGUAAAUUAAAGAUAUUAAAAUUUACUUAUUAAUAAUUAUUAGCC